AACCUGGAAAAUUGCGUAUUCUUGCACAAGUCCUUGACUGAUUUUCUAGUCACUUUCCCAAAAGAAGUGUAAAAAGACUUACUCAAACCUCAAAACUACCAUUCUUACAUUAGCAGGUCAGCUCAUUGCAAAACAGGAGGCAUCCACUGCAACACAAACUGUAAGAGCUCAAAGAGGUAGCCACUCAGUUUACUAGGGUUGGACAAAUUUGUCUAAUGCAGAAGUGUCCAAAGCUUGAAAUUCCUUCACAGCAGCUGCCACUUCGAGUCCAAGUUUCACAGCAUCUUCAUGGCUUGGUGCCUGCAAUGUGUUUAUUAUCAUCCAGCUUAGAAAUUACAGUGUUUAUAACAUCUUAUGCUAAAGUUGAUACUGCUUUCAUACCUCGAUGUUAAGAGGAAGGACAGGAUCAUGAAGUGAAAGCCUAAGAAGGAACCACCCUCCAUAGCCAGAAACUCGAACCUGUUUUCAGAAGGAAGUUAGCGAAACCCGUUUGGUAAAAUGGUGAAAUUUAUAACUGUCCAAUUUUUGUGGCCACAUUUGUCAUUCAGUUUGAGUGAUUAUUUCAACAAAGAAGCCUAGAUAAUUCGAUGUCUGAAGCCUAUAUCAAACUUACCCCUUCAUAGUUAACUGGUGCUUUGGGAUCUGAAGCAAUAUGGUUAACCAAGUGCUCAGACCAACUUCCCCAUAAUCCCGGAAAGAUCUGCAAGUUUCGAACUCUCAGCAACUUUAACAGAAAUCAGGCAGACAGAAAGAUUGGAGCCAUAUAAAACACCAUACCCUCCUUUAAGAUCAGGAUGACACUGAUUAAUCUUUAGUCGCAGUUCCACGGCAAAAGCUGGUUCCUCCAGACCGUCAACUAGAUCUGUUAAAACUUUGCUUCCAUCACCUCUGCCAGAGGCCCUUGCUGAAGCCAGUUUAUUUAGGAGUUUGACCUGCACUCAGCAGGUCAAAUAAAACGGCAUAGAUGGAUUAGUCCAUGUGCAUUUAAGUUCAUACUUUGGUUGAAAUAUACAGUCCAAAUAAUAUGCAAGAAGAGGCUUGUCCACCCAGAUUAAAAGCUUACCAUCAAGUAUGCCCCAUCAUCGAGCCAGUGAUUCUCCUUGAGAGCUCCAUGGCCACUGGUUUCUAUAGCCAGAUGUGAUUCUUCUCCAACAGAGUUCUGUGGGAAGUUCUUUUACUUUAGUUUCAAAAUUUUUCAACACAUAACAAAGAACUGAAAGUUAAACAAGAUGAUCAGCUGUGGUAUAAUAGGCGACAAGGAUCUCCAAUACCAAACAAUGACAGCAGGAUAUGUCACAUUAUGUUCAGGCAUUCUGUUGCUGAGUAGAAAUUAUAACAUACUUAAGAACGAACAUAGCAAGCGAUGAAAAUGGGGAUCAAGAAUUUUGCCAAUGACUAAUGGUAGAAAAAGAUCAACUAAUUUUGUAUGAAGCAUGCAGAUGAGAUUUGUUCAUCCCUGUAUAAACCAAUAUCAAUCUUUAAAGUUUUAAGUUCCUUUAAAUGCCAAUGGAUCAUAUAACUAAUACUCAGAAUAGUGUUUGGCAAAAACUACUGGUUCAUAUGAAGUUGUUAAUAUCCCAUUAAGUCAUUCAGAUCCAAGCUCUUUUUUAUUCAUCUUCUAGCACCCCACAUAACUGAUAGAAAUAUAAUAAAACCAAGAUAAAAGAAAAUGAAAUUUACCAAACGAAUUGCCUCAUCAAUGACAUUCUUAUAGCCUCCUUUGAAUCUAUGGUGCUUUCCCCCUAAAAGAAAUUGCAAGUUAUAAGUUUGCUCUAGAAGAAACAAAGCAAAUACUUAAGUGUCAGUUAAGUUUUUAUCAUACCAAGUUUCUUUUCAAUGAAUGAAGUAAGCCCAUCUGAAGCCACACUAUCUGUAACAAUGGUUGUUCCUGGAUGCUGAAGAGAAGAAGAUGAGGAGAUUAAAUGAGAGGAAAACUGAAUAAUAAAAAAAAAAAUUAAUUGCUUAAUUGAUAUAAAAAAUAAAUUUGUUAUAAAAAAAUGUUUACAUAAAAUCCAAAUGUAGUAAGUAUUUAUAAAUAUGAGGAAAAAUAAGACAAAUAGAUUUUUUAUCGUUUUAUUCUUUGGAAUUUCAUUAUGUAUUGUAUGGUUUAUAAAUUUAAUAUAAAUUUCAUCUGACAAUGAUAAUUUGAUUUUUAAGAUUAGAAAAAAUAGAUGUAUGAAUUAUUUAAAAAUAAUAAUUAUUUUUUCAAAAAAUAUUUAAAAAAAUUUUAGCAUAAAUAAAAUAAAUAGAUGUGUGCAUUAUUGACCUAUGGAUUAUUUUAAAAAAAUUCAAAAAAUCACAAACAAAAACAAUUAUUUUUUUCGUAUGAAAACAGAAUAUUAAAAAAAAAAAAAAACUAAUGCUGUAAUUUACUCUGCUUCCAUAACUAAUUAACAGGGCUAACAAUUUUAAAUAAAACAUAGUUAUAAAAUAUUAAAAUAUUAUAGAAAAAAAUUAAAAUGAUAUGUUUUAAAAUUUAAAUAAAAAUUAUACAUAAAUUUAAUAAAAAAUAUAUAUAAUUUAUAUUUAAUAUGUUGACUCGAAUCAUAUUUUACACUUGUUAUACAUUAAAUAAAUAAAUACAAAUAUACAAAUAAUUAGCUUUUAAAUGUUUGUUCUCGUUUGAAUAUUUUCUUCUAGGAUAGGCUAAACUAAUCUUUGGUCAAAAAUUAAAACUUGCCAGGUUGUAUGGAUGAGGAUUGCCUGAGAAAUAAAGUAAAGGAAAUGGUUAAUUAAUUAACAGGCAAACAAAUUUUGGGAAACCAUUGAUUCAAUCUAGCUUAGCUUGAUAAUUUGUGUUAUCAUAUAUUGUAAAAUAUUAUAUUCGUAUCAUAUUUUAUAAAAAAAAUUAUAUAUCAUAAUUCGUAUUAAUAUAAAAAUAUAAAAUAUAAUUUUUUAAAUUUUAUUAAAUUUAUUUAUAUUUUUUUAAAUUUUAAAUCGUUUUAUAUUCGUAUUUUUUAUUCGCAUUAUUUUCGUAUUAUAUGUUUCAAAUUAUUAAAUCUAAAUCCAGCAUCGAAAAGUUGGCACCUAAUCUUUAACAAAAAAGGAAAGGUAUUGGUAGCUUAAUCUUGACUUAAUUACGAAGACCAAAGCUUAAAUUUAAUUAUUCUCCUUGUCUCCUUUUUGUUUUUAAAUUUUUAGAUGUUUCAAAAUUUUUUUUUAUUUUUUUAAUAUUUAAAAUUAUUUUACUUUUUAAUAUUAAAAAUUAUGAAAAUUUAAUUUUAUAAAAAAUUUAAUUUUAAUAUUAAAUUAUUGAAAUCAAUUUUUUUUUAAUUCUGAAAAUCAAUAUAAAACAAAUAAAUAGAAACGAAUAAAGUAUUUAUAAGCUUUCAAGUAUUAUAAAAUGAAAUGUCUCUUUCUACUUUCUACAAUCAAAAUAUUUUUAAAAUCUGUUUGGAUUCAAACACAUAUUGAUAUGGAAUGUGAUUUGAGCACUUUUUGCUAAAUUUACAAAAACAAAUUAACAAUACCUUUUGAAAACAAUUGAUUACCUGAUCUUUAACAAAAAAGGAAAGGUUGGUAGCUUAAUCCGUGACCUAAUCAUGAAGACCAAAGCUUAAAUUUAUUUAUUUAUAAGCCUUUUAAUGUUAUAAAAUGCAAUGUCUCUUUCUACUCUCUACAUUAAAAAUAUUUUAAAACUAUGUUUGGAUUCAAGCAUGUCUUGGAGUGUGAUUUGAUCACUUCGUGCUAAAUUUUCAAGAAUAAAUUAAUAAUAAAUUAAGUUUGAGACACAAUCAAUUUAUACUGAUAUAAAAUAUUUGUUAAUAAUUAAUUUUAAUAGAUCCAAAAAAUGAAAAAUAAUUUAAUCUCAUCCUUAGAUUUGUUGAAAUUAAUCAUUAAAAAUAUAUAAAAUGUAAAUUUGCAUCUGCCAUUGUUUUAUUCUUGUAUGUGCAACAAUAAAUUUAUGAGAUUAAACUAAAAUUACAAGUAGAUAUAUUUUUUUGUUAAAUUUAAAGUUUAAUUUAAAUUAUUCAUUCAUGAAUUAAUUUUCAAAAAGAUAAAAAUUUGAUCCCUAACAUGUGCAAAUAUUUUUCCCUUAAUUUCUCUUAGGCUUUAGUUCCUAUGUAAAAUAUAUAUAUUUCUUUAUUGACAUAUAUAUAUAUAUAUAUAAAUUGUUAAUCAAAUAAUAAUAUUUUAAAAAAAUGAGCUUAUUAUUUUAUAUAUGUUGAAUUAUUGAUUCUUCCAGAGCAAGAAAUUGAUUUUUUAAAGAUGUUCAAUCUGAAAGAAUCAAAGAUUCUUAAAAGUGUUAUUAAACAGUUUAGACCAUACCACCCACAAAACCAUUCUUGGUUUUCUUCGUGGGAAAGGACUACUCCCAAAGGAAACGUGGCUCAAAUGAUUCCUGCCUUUUUAAACUACUAGUACAAUUAAUGUGACGUGAAUGACGUGACAUUCAACUUGAAAAUGACUACAAAGAAAUUUUUUGGCUUUAGUAUAAAAAAUAUUUGAAUUAAAAUUAAAUAAUUAUUUAAAAUUUUGUAGUUUUUACAUAUCUAUUUUUUUAAUCUUUUAUUGGACGAAAAUUGAUAAAUUAUUAUUAUCAAUUUUCAGCUAUUAAGAAUUUAAUUGUGUAAAAAUAAAUAUUAAAAAUUUAAUUGAAUAAAAAUAAAUAUAUAAAAAUUCAAUUAAUUGUAAUAAGAGGAUAGAUAAUUGGAUAAUUAUUUAAUUUUAUUUCAAGAGACUUUUUUAUAUUUAAGUAAAACUUUUUUAUUAACCAUUUACUGGUUAUGCUGCAAGAUGAAAAUGUUUGAAAAUUUUCAGUUUGAACAAGUGCAUCCUCAACAAAUUUACCAUAGCUUUGUCUUAGUUUCUGCCACUUUAAUGUUAUCAAUAAAUGAUUUAUGUGCUCUAUGUCCUAGGAAACUGUUAAUAAUUCCAAAAUGCAGUUGUGGUUGUCAGUAUUUGCUGGUUAAGAAGUUUACGUAAGCUCAUAGCUUCUGCAAUGGUUCCAAAAUGCAGUUGUGCACUGCAUUUUUGUUACUUUUAACUAGUUUUGUUUUUCAAAUUUGAAAAUAUGGUGGUUGAGCAAAGUGUUAGUUGUGGUUCCAAAAUUUUGAAAAGAACAUCUAUUAUAAUAUAUAUAUAUAUAUGUAACGAUAAAUUUAUUAAUUUUACUGAUUAAAAAAUAUUUUUAAAAGAUUAAAAAUGUUCAAAAAAAAGUUUCUCUAACCUUCCUUUCAAUUUUUUUCUUUUUAAAGAAGAAAUUCAAUGGUAGAUAAAUUGUUCAAUCUUUUAGAUCAGGGUAAGAUGUAUCAUAUCUGAUAACUUAAAACAGGUGGUUGCAAGUCGUGCAUUCGAGAUGACCUCAAUAAGUGAUCAUCGAUAGAAUUCGAACUCAAAAUUUUUUUUUAUCAAGAAGGAUAAACUUAAUUGAUUGAAUCAAUAAUUUGUUGAUUUUUUCAAUCUUUUUACUGUCUAUAAAGUGAUUCCAUGUGCUCUAAUUCAAUACUAUACAAAAGUAUUACCAAAGUGUUAAAAAAAAAAAAAAUUUAUGUUGACGUAGAUAUGCUUUUAACCUAUAUCAACCUUAAUUAAAUAAAAUCUCUACCAUCUUGAUUAGAAAUUCAAAAAUAAAACUUUUAUACAUUUUAAAAUUCAUGAGUCAAAAAGAGAAUUUUUGACAUCUUUAUGCUCAUUGUGUCUAACACUGAAUAAACUAAGUUUUCACUCUAGCAAUAUCUCAAAUCAAUGAUAGGUUAAAUUUUGGUCCUACUCUUACCUAAAUGGCACUCGAACCAAAUCAUUUGUCAUGCUAUUAUUCUCUUGUUUUGUUCAUCCUAUUCUUACCUAAAUGGCACCCGAACCGAAUCAUUUGUCGGACUAUUAUUCUCAUGUUUUGUUCCUUCCACGUAAUGGAGUAAGAGAUCAAUUUCUCUUUUUUUUUUUUUUUUUUUUUUUUUUCAAUCUUCGCCUUACCUUGAUUGCUCAACUUUUUUUAAAGCUAACUAUGUAGGUGUAAUGAGAAACACAGCUAACUUAGAACCCUAUCUAGAGAGUUUCUUCUUGUCUUUAUUUUUUCCAAGUCAUAUUAAUUAAUGUCAAUAUAGGUGUCAUAGUCGAAUGAAGUCAAAAAAGCCUGCUCAAAGACAUUGGCCAAAAAUAAAAUGUCCUUAUGUCACGAGACUUAAUUUUCAUGUUCAUACGAUUUUCGCACUUAGACAUGAACUCAUUUUAUAUUUUAGAUCAAUUUAAUUAUUAUAAUUUAUAGUUUUUAUGAGAUAUUAUUUAUUUUAUUUCAUAAUUUUAUUUCAUAAAAAUACUUUUAAAGAAACAAUAAUAUAAAUUUUUAUAUUUUAUAAUCAAUUUUAAUAUACAAUCAAUACAAAAUUCUUGACAUUACUGUAUACUUACUCAGCCUUCCUUAAUAAAAAUGAAGAAUAAUUUGUUUCGCAAGCCUAGAUGUGGUCAAGAAUUUUAGCUGAUUAUGGUUCAGAUCUUGUGAUCCCUGUGUGCUAGUUCAGAAUAACUGUUCUGAGGCUUUAUAAUUGGCUUUCAGGCAGCAGGCAAUUUUCAUCCCCUACGGCCCUACCCCACCCUCAUCCCGGCUUUCAGGCAGCAGACAAUUUUCAUCCCCCUACCCCACCUUCGUCCCUUCCUUUUGUUCUGACUUUCCUUUUUCAGCACCUGAGCCAGCUAUGUAAAGGCAAAUUGCGUUCAUUCAAGACUUUAUAAACUGAACAGUAAAUGAUAAUAGAAUAGAUAUUUAUUAUUUUUUAAAUAUUUAUAUUUGAAUUUAUUUAAUAUUUAUAAUAUUCAAAUUCAUUUAAAUUUAAUAUUAUUAUAUAAAUCUAAACCUAUUUAAAUAAGUACUAUCUUUUUAAAUAUCUAAAUCUAUUAAAAUAUUUAUUUUUUUAAAAUUUUUAUCAACAUAUAAAAUAAAUAAGAAUUUAAAUUAAAUUUUAAAGUUAUUUUUAAUUAAUAAUAAAUAAAAAUUAUUUUUUAAAGUUCAAAACUUUUUAUAUAUAUAUAAAAUUUUAUAUAUUUUAUAUAUGUAAACCGAUAACGUAUUCAAAUAUUGAUAUUCAUUAUUAUUCGUUAAAUUUAAACGAAUUUGAAUAUUAAAUAUCUAAUAAAUACUAUUUAUAUCUGCUUUUAAUCUAUCACGGAUAAUAAAUAUUUUAUCCGAAUCCGUUAAUUAUCUUUUUAUAAUUAUUUGAAUCCAAUAAAAAUGAAUUAAAUAAUAACGAAUAUUCAUUUACGUAUCAUUCUUAGAGUGAACAAGAUAUUACCAGAUCCUGGAUAUGUUGCAAAGUUUCUACAUAAGUUAAGAGAAAUAAAGUAAUCAACUCGGUUAAACCUCGUUUUCUUUCAAUUUUAUUUAUAAUAUAGUGAAGAUAAUAGGGAAAUACUCCUGGCAAAUGAUUGUGGGAAGGCUGACAGAGGUACAGUGAGAUCAUACGGAAAAUCAGAAAUGGCUUGAAACUGUGUGAUGAAAAAAAUAAUGAUUAUCAAUAGAGAAGAAUGGCGGAGGAUGGUAUUUGUUGUCAAUGCCCAAUUGUUAACUCGAGGCUUUUUGAGUAACUUUAUUCUUCAUCACAUGGAAGUUCUGCCAGAUAACUUGAAAAUGACUAUUGAUAAUAAAUAUAGGCUUGGCUCAAUAUCAUAUUGCGAUAGAGCAUAUCAUUUAUAAAAUAUUAUUUAUAAUAAUUAUGAUAAAAUUAAUCAAUCAUAAUUUAAAAUUAAGUAAAAAUCAUAUCCAUGAAGUAAAAUUGUAUAGGGAACAUGUGUAUAGUUAUUGGUUUCCAAAUUAGUGUAGGAAAUAAAUGACAAAAGUUUCAAAAUUGAGCCCCCAACUUUGUCCUUCACUGUUUAGCUGUGGCAGAUCUUUUUGGGGAGUGCAUAUCUUUCUCGCUGAUCAGUACAAUAAUUCACUUCAACAAAUCACAAUGUUAGCAAUAGAAUUAGUUAGUUCACUUCAGGUUCCGGCUGCUGGUUGUACAGGAUUCGAAUUAUCAACUUUCUGAAUAAAUCUGAGUCACAUUCAAUUUCGGUUUUAACUCAAUUGCUGGUUGUAGAUCCAAGCCGGUGCCAUGCAAUUUCCUGCAACCAGAUAAUAGCCGGCUAAAUGUCAAUAUUAUUGCUUUCUAAAAGAUACAAGGUCUUAGACAUCGUCUUCAUCACCUGGCAAAGACAGAUGAACUAGAUAUGCAGGAAAGCCAAGAGAAAAAAGUACAAAUCAAGUACUACUUGAAAAACCUAUUCUGCAGCAGGUCAUUUUACUUGAUAGUAGAUACUUUGUCUAUACUUUGGAUCUAAGUUUCUGAUCAUUGUACCCAUGAGAUCAAGGUACAAUCUACCAUUGCUUAACAUGCAAGAAGUAGAUACUAUUACAUCAUAACAAAUUUAACUUUGGGCCUUUUAAUUCUGAAAGCAAAAAGUUCGAGGGAAAAAAUUUUGGUUAUAGCUUUACAUUUUACUUCCUAAAAGUGGGAAGCAAAGUUAGUGCCACAGACCAUCUAAUCAUGGUAGGAUCCACCAUGUUAUAAGAGCACUUCCCUAACCAUUUCCAUCAUAGAAAUAGCAUCCCCUUUGGUUUUUUUGCAAAAGCCAAAAGGUUUCAACUGGCUACUACUAAAAGAAGAUCUAUCAAGCUGCCAACAACCCUUUGGCUCAGCGGCAUGAGGUUUUGGCAUUUGGGAGGGUUGCCUGAGUUCAUGGCUAUAACUAUAAUUUCUUUUACACCACUUGGAAAGUUAUCAACAGCCAUUAUAGAAGAAUGCAUUAAAUAAAUCGAUUAAGCAAUUCGCAGCAAAAUUCAUAUUUAAAGCAAACAUUGCAGUUUAUAAAAAUAUAAAAGCACCCAAACACACACACAAAACAAGAGCAGUAUGCAAUUCUUGACAACUUUGGAUGAAAGCGUCUCUUUUAGCUUCUUCAUUUCCAUUACAGAGAAAGACCAAGUAACGACAGGCAUAGCUAAUAUCUGAAGUCCAUUGCAGACUGAAUGUGCCAAUAAGAUGGUUUUAUUCUAUAGUUGACUGGUACUAAGCACUAAAAAUAGCCCAAAUGUGAAGUUGCUUUCAGAAUCAAGCAUACUAAAAACAAGCUAAUUAGAUAUAUGCUCCGAAGUUGAGGAAAACUGCAACUACAUAUAGAAGGCUGCUUAAAAUUGGGUUCCUACGGGGCCAUUGAUGUUAUGUAAUCUUCCAAAAUAUUAUGAACAAAUAAAUUGAACUUAUCAAUGAAAGAAACACAUACACUGAUCUCCUUUUUUGUAAGUGGGGCAAACACAGUAUCAUCCUUUACACCAGCAAUUUUAUAGAGCCGCACCCUCUGCUGCCCAAAUAUUACUUCAAUGUCUUCAUCUUUGUUUAGGAGCCUGAAACAUCGAAGCCAGUUUCUUCUAAGACCUGUAUUUUCAUAGAAAGUACAUAAUCAUAGAUAAGAAAAGAAAAGAGAGGGAAGAGGGGGAUAAAGAACUGAAAGUGUAAUCAGUAAUCAUUUGGAUUCCAUUAUCAGAAACUGAGCACGUCAUUUUAGGAACCAUAAACUCUAUUAUUUCUGCAAAUUAGAAGGGAAACAUGCAGUGAAUAAAUUACAAAUAAUAAUCUAUGUAUACAAUGGCUCCAUGCCACUGAUGAUGUUUAAUGACCGGUUUAAUAGAGACAUUGGCAACCCUACUCUAGCUUUUGCUUUUGAGUGGUGAAUGAACAGACAUGGAAAGCUAGUUAAUAAACCCAUGUAGAUUGUACAUUUCUUCCUCGUUCAUGUCACUUACAACAAGAAAGCAAGAUCAUUCUGAAGUAAUCUAUGACUCUGUAGCCAUCUGAAGAGCACAACACUGCAUAGAUUCAUCUUGUAUGCAAAAGGUUAAACUACCUUUAAAGGAAAUUCAUCUCCAAUCGGAUUCCUUAAGAAUCAGUUUCCAGUCCUUCACACAAAAUUGGUCAACAAUAAUAAAGCCUAAUUACCACUAAAUCAUCAGACAUGCUCAUUUAAGUAUAGACAAAAAUUGAGGAAGAGCCCUAAAAUACAGAUAAGUUGAAUGUGCACAAAAACUUCUCUAAUGGCACAUGCAUGGUCUUCCUCAUCUUUGUUCUUUUCCCACGUGGGAAGUUCCAGUUCAUCCCUUUCCAUCCCUUCACUAGGAUGCACUAUUAAUUAAAUCAACAAACAGAAAGUAAAGACACUCGUAGACUGGAAGCUUAGUGAAUUCACUUCAACAUAUAUGAUAAUCCUGGAAAAUGUUAUACAAUUUGAAUUUGACAUCCUGAACUGCAAGGAACAGCAUUCAUUGAAGUUCCAUCAAUUGGAAAACGACAUGAAUGAAAAGACCCAAGAAGUAAAGAUAAACUAACACAAUCUCUGACAAAGAUAUCAAGAGAUUGGAGUUAUGGAGAUAGAGAGUGAAGUGGGAUUAAAAAAGUAAAUAGGUGCAAAUUUUACGGUCUUAAACGUUAAUACAUGGAUGCAAAAAGGGCAUUGGAAACAACAGAGGGACAAAAAGUGAUGAUAUUCACUAAAAAAUUAGAAGGACAAAAGACUCUUCUUGUUUUUAACUAGCACAAGAGACUAGCCCGUUCAUACGUUUUAUCCAAAAUAAUUGCCCGUUACAGAACUCGAACCUUGUAAUCAGUGAAAUCCUUAAAUAUAUCAUCUAUAUUUGCAACAUUAGGCCUUAAAACAUUGCAUCUGUUAAAUACUGGCAGAAGUUUCAAAUAUGCCAAGCCACAUGCCAAUGCGCAAGUUUCAAAUAUCAACCAAGACUGAAGAAAAACGUGGGAUUUGCUCAACAUUGCAUCAAAUAUAGGAUACACAGAGGUGAACUCCUUCAGAUUGAAUGACUUCAGAAAUGGAAUUUUUUCCAGUGUUGUCCUUAUUGAAUCAAUGUGCAAACCGGUUUUGGACCUUAAUGAACCCCGUUUGUUGAAUAACGGGUUGAAGAGUUAAAUUCAUUUCUUGGACUGGUCCAUGUCAAGUGCCAACAUUUUUAACCCAAAAAAUAUGCUUAUUAGGUGGAUAAAGGCCCUAACUUAUAAGUCCAAGACUUAUCUCAUCUUUUUCCUAUACGAGAUCCUCCCUCACUCAAUUAGGAUUGGCAAUCUAACGGAUUUCAAUUUCAUCUAAUUUUAUAGGAUCGAAUUUUUUUUAAUCAAAUUUGAUCAGAUCAGAUCAAAUAUUUUUAAAGAAAAAUAGUGGUUGAAUUCUAUGCAAACCCAUUUCUAUUCAACCCGGUAUAUAUAUAUAUAUAUAUAUAUAUAUAUAUAUAUAUAUAUUUAUAUUUAAAAAAUUAAUAUUCUACAAGUUUAAAUAUAUACAAGUCUGAGUAAAAAUUUAUUGUGACUGAACCCAUUGCUAUCCAUGUACUCGAUCAUGUAAUGUCCAAGUUUUAUUAACUUUUGAGAUUUAUUUUGAUUCAGACCUAACUCAGUCCUGAUAUCUCCUAAGAUCUACAAAAAAAAAUUGGAUAAUCCAUGUGAAAAUAUAUAAUCAAGUCAGAGGUUCAACCCGGAGCUGGGAGUUUGCCAUGGCAUUGCCUUGAACCCAGAUUUGAACAAUCCCUCCAAUGUUUCCACUGCAUUAAGGUGCCAAAGGUAUCCAAUAUCGUAUCCAACUAAUGCUUUAUCUGAUACUUGGCAAAGCACUUUUUAGCAGCGGAACUAAAAGGGAAAGAAAUUUACCAAUGCUGAUAAAUACUACAAUUAAGAUUUUAAUGAACAGAAUCCAAAUCCUAACAAUCUUAAUUACAAAAAAUAAUAAUAAUAAAGGUCAUACAUCUCACUUUAAAAAAAAAUUCAUAUAAUUUCAAAACCAAAUCUGAACCUCCAAAAUAAUUCAAGAUGUUUAUUUUUGAAUGGCUGGUAAUAUAGUUUUAGCAUACUCCAGGAUCUGUAUGAUAUCAGUUUCUCCAAACUUUUUAACUUGAGUCAAGAACUUCAAAUCCACCUGGUUAGAAGUAGCAUCAACUGUUCACAGGAUAAGAGUUCAACAAUUAAAAACCAUCUUUAGAAAAAAAUACCAAGGUAAACAAAAUGAAAAACCUCACUUCACACAAUAGUUCAUUCAAGCAAAUGUAGUCACAUAAACCCAAACAUAACAGAAGAACAUAUUUGUAAACUACCUGUUAUUGUAAUGCUCCCAUCAACUGGAUGUAAAGAUGACAUAUUUUCACUAGACAUUGACGCAGACCUGUUAAAAAAAAAGGAAAAUGAUAUUAAUUUUUUUAUAUAAUAUGAUCAGUGUAUCAUCAUAUUUUACCUAUGCCUAACUUUCUUUCCAGACGAUUUUAAAGAAGCACGUCAAUUACCUUUACCUAGUUACAUGUAUAUAUAUUAAUAACUCAGACUUCACCGAGUGGUUGUUAUUGAGAUCCAAGGUUUGAAUUUCCGCUCUUCCUAUACAUCCCAAUAUGUACCAAGAGUUAUAUGUAUUAACAUUUGUUCACAAUGGCAAUAUGAUUUUGUAUGUUUUUUCAGAAAGAAAACGAGUGUUUGGCUGGAAAUUGACUUCCCAAGGCCAAAAAGUACAACUCAGACAAAGCUUUAAGAAUUCAGAUGUGUUGCUGAUAAACAUUUUAAACCAACAGCACAAGUCUCGAGCAAGAAAUCAAGCUCUUGAAACGUCCAAUCCCAAGAUUUGGUUGGGACUGCAUACUAGGUAGAGACUUUGCUUGGACCCAUUACCAUUGAAUGACAGAUCAUUAACAUAAAAAAAAUGGAAAAAUCAUGCUCACCUAUAUUGAACAGCCAGUCCCAUGCGAGCAAUACCUCUAGACACAGCCUGUAAAGUCAAUAAUCAAACAAAUUUAUGUGACAAUUGCAUUCAUGAUGUUACAGUAAGCAUUUUUUUUUUUGGCCAAUAAAAAAUGGUAAAUCAGUGGGGUGUCAUUAUAGCACCGUUUAGGACCAGCACCGGAGGUCAGCCGUGGGUGUCCUGAUUUAACCCAACCCAUAGGAAGGGACCUGCCGUUCGGCCCUUCGGACCACAUAGCAUCUAAGGCACUGACAUAACAUCCUUAGCUACAGGGCCCAGAGAGCAAUUAUUUCCAAGCUUCUAUUCUACUUGACAAAAGUAAAUACCUUUCUAAAAGUAUCCAAGAUUCUUCCUUCCUUAGAGUUAUAAACAAAUUCACAGAAAAGUACCAAAUAUCAUAAUUGCCUUUCUAUCCUAGGAGAAACAUGCCUUUGAAAUUACACAUAAUUACUCAUGCAUGCGAGGGUAGAUUAUACCUUUAGCUGUAACAUUUGUGCAGAAUCAGCACCCGCAGUUGCAUUGAUUGAAACGCUUAACAUUCCAGAUUUUGUCUUGUUCAACGACCAUGAAGCAAUGCCAGUAGCUAUUGCCUCUGUACCUGCCGCACUGCUGUUUAAAGGUGCUCCUGCCUUAACGAUAGCAACAGCUUCUACUCGAGUUCCACUGUAUCAACAUGAUUAAGGGAAUGAAUGAAAAAUCAGACUCGAAAUUACCCAACCAAAACAAAAUCGAUUUCUCACACCCACCUGCGGUUUUCAACACUCAGAGUAAAACCGCGGCAAUAGUUUACGGCGUUGCAACCCCUUUUCCGGGACAUUAACUGGUGGAGGGUGCGUUGACGUCGACGGAGGAGCAUUAUUAUUCCCCCUAAUGAUGCCAUACUCUAAUGUUGGUGGUUUGUCAGCCGCUUUCACUGAUGGGCAUAGUAGCAGAAAAGUCAAAGCAAAAGCCGUGGCUCCCAUGAGUUCAAAACUGCCAACUUUCUUCAUGCUUUUGGGAAAAACAGCUAGUCCAGUCUGCAAAAAAAAAAAGAGGGAAGAAUUUUAAAGAAAAAAAAAUGGAAUUCUGGUUGGGGAUAGGAUAUCAGAUAGAGAGGUAUGGAAAAGGAAGAGUUAUUGGAGGUAGGAAAAGAAAAGCAGAAGCAGAAAAGGGGAUCAGUGUGGUAAGAUAGAGGGCGAUGUUCCUGUGGAUUUGAAGGAAGAUGAGUUCGUACAUGUGGGAACCGAAAGUUUGGUGGAAAUUUUUGAGACAGGUGACGAUGGUGCUAGCCCAAAAGAGCCACCCAUCAGCCAUGGUUGCCCUUUCAUGAAACUGUCAAGAAAAGCAGAAGCAGAAAAGGGGACUAGUGCGGUAAAACAGAUGACGAUGUUCCUGUCGAUUUGACGGAAAAUGAGUUCGGAAAUGAUUAGGGAAUCGAAAGUUUGGGGGAAAUUUUUGAGAUAGAUGAUGAUGGCUGGCCCAAAAGAGCCACCCAUCCGCCAUGAUCGCCCCUUCAUGGAACUGUCAAGAAAAGCAGAAGCAGAAAGGGGACGGUAAAAUAGAGGGCGCAGAGAGGCAGUUGUUUGAUAUUCCUGUCGAUUUGAAGGAAGAUGAGUUCUGAGUUUGAGCCUUUGCUACAGCAAUAAGAAAGGAAAUUUAAAAAAUCAAAGAAAUUCGAAUAAAAAAUCCUUCAUCAUCUUUGUCAUCUUGCCAAGCUCUAAAAUAAAAGAGAAUCAUCCAAUAAAAAUAAAAACUAAGACAAAAAUGUCAUUGCCAAAUCCAAAAUUUUGAUUAAAAAAAAAUCUACAUCACUAUUAUUUAAAAAUUUGACAAUUUCAUUACAAAUUUGGUACACAGUUGCAAGCAAAAGGAGAGAAAAAAACAACAUUAAAGUCACAUGUUUUAACAAAACUCAUGUUACAAACAGAGUUAUCAAGAUCGACUCAAUAAAAAAAAAUACUAAAUAAAAAAAGGUUAUAUUACCAUUUUUUUUUCUAUUCUUCUUCUCCGAUUAACAAGACAAUGAGAUUGGAUCUCUCAAGUUCUUCCUUCUUCUUCGAUUAACGAGGCAAUGGAAUUAGGUCUCUAAAGUGCUAAUGUGUGACAAGAGAAAGAGACCCUUUCCAAUGUUCAGAAGAUCUUUUUCACUAGAUAAUAUUUAUAAAUUAAUCAGAUUUUGAUCAAAACGUUGAUUAAUUUGAUUUAAUCUGCUUUCUAUUAUUUUUCAAGUUGCAUUUUGAAACGUAGACGUCAUUUUUUACCAAAAUUAGCCGACUCUCAUGUUAAACAUAGACGCCUUUUUUUACCCAAAUUAGCCUACUCUCAUGUAUCUCCUUCUAUGUUUUAUUGAAUUCUAAGAUAAUAUGUUGUUUGCUUGACACUCAAGCCAAACGUAAAACCGAAGAUACGGUCACGUUCACACUAGCGGUCGGUGAUUUGUACACACCAUUAGCAUGUGAUUUGUAUUCAUUUGAUCUAUUUAAAUAUAUUUAAAUAUAUAAAUAAAUAUUAUUUAAUUUUCAUGUUUAAUGUACACAUAAAAUACAUAUAAUAAUUAAGUUACAAUAAUAAUUAGGUUAAACUAAUUUAAGUAAAUUUUCUUUUUUUUAAGUUUAUAAUCUAUCUUUAAAUUUUUAUUAUAUACCUUAUUAAAAAAAAAUUACAUAUUUAAAUUUUUUCAAACUUACAAUAUUAAAAUAUUAAUUUUAAUGAUAUACAAACUAAUCUAAGAGAUGGUCAAUAAUUUCGAGUUAAUUUAUUAAAGGUAAAAUAAUCAUGGAAAAAUGUAAAUAUGAAUUAAUAAGAACAAUUAUUAAAUAUAAAAUAUAAUAGUAUAAUAGUAAUAAUUACAUACUCUCUCUUUUCCUUUUCCAUGACUAAUUUUCAUUUAAUAUAGAGAUAACAAAAAUAUGUUAAAUGAAAUUUUCAAAAAAAUCUCAUUUGUCCAAAAAGAAUAAAAAAAUAUUAUAAUUCUUGCUAAUUCUGAUUCACUUAGAAUAAGAAUAUCAAUUAAGUUCAUGAUCAACACAGAGUAAAAAUAUAUAAAUACGACAUUUAAUUUGGUUUGUAGAAAUAAUAAAAAAGAUGAUGUCCAAUUUUAACCUACCGUAUAUUAAAAAUGGGAUUUGAUCAUUAUAGAUUUAUACAUUUAUCUUUCUUUUUUUUUUCUGUUCCAAGGGAUGUAGUUCUUACAAAGAGGAAAAGGAAGAAUAUCCAAAUUCGAAAUCAAAAUCUUUAUAUUUUUAUAAAACUUCUUUAAUCACUAAAUUAAAAGGUCAAAAUUUUUGUAUAUUUAUCUUUAAAAGUAUUGGUUUGACGCAAAGAUACAAAUAAAAAACAAAUCAAAAAAUAUAUAGAAAAUUAUAGUUAUUUAAGAUUUUUCAUUAAAAAAAAGAUAUUGUUAAUAAAUCAUAAUUGAUAAGAUAAAAUAAAUUUAUUUAAUUUUAAAUCAAUAAAUAUGUGUGAUUUGUUAAUAAAUCAUUAGUGAUAAGAUAAAAAGUUAUACCUCUAUCAUAACAUGUUUAUAUAAGAAAAAAAAAUGUUAUACCUCUGUCAUAACAUGUUCAUAUAAAAAAAAAAAAAGUUAUACCUAAGAAUAAUUAAAGAUAAAAAAAUUACUUCGAUAAAUUUUCGUAAAAAAACAUAUUUUACCUCAUUACUUGAAUCAUAACUAUAGUUGUUUUUUUUUUCAACCUAAAACACAUCCAUAAAAAGAAAGACAUUACCAAGAAAAUUAUUAAUUGUUAAUUUUAUUUUUAUUUUUAAUUUAAUUCUAUGUAUUGCAAUUUACGAAUAAUUAAAAUCAUAUUAUUAUUUGUCUAUUUAUCAUAUCUAAAAUUAUUAUUUACACACAUUUAAGGUAAUGUUUGAUAUGAAAUAAUCACUCCAAUAUCAUUAUAAUUUACAUAUGAUAAUUAUAUCAUGUGUUUGAUAAGUACUUAAUGAUUAUACGUGACAUUGACCUUGGAUGAUUAAAAGUAAUUAGGUCACUUCUUUGGAGAGUGAUUUAAUUCUUAUAUAAAAGAGUGAAAAACUUUUAUUAUUGAGUUGAAGUAAUAUGUAAAAUUAAUAAUAAUCAAUAUUACUCAUGUAAUAUGUGAAUCAAAACUUGUUUUCUCAUAAAAUUAUAGUUAUUUUACGUUAUAAAUUUUUAUAUUUUUAAACAAAUAUUCAUGAUAACAUGUUCAAAAAUAAUUUGUGUAUUUUUUAUUUUUUUAAUGUUUUAUAUAAUAUAGUUUUUGUUUUUUCUUUUAGUAUGAUUUUAAUAGAAUAUUUUUUUCUAAUACAAAUUUUUUUUUACAUAAUUUAAAUUAUAAAUUUAAUUUACCUAAUAAAUAAAUAUAACUAUUAAUUUAAUAAUUUUAUUAUAUAUUUAUUAUAUAAAAUAAAUAAAAUAUUACUAUAUUUUAUAAAUUAUUAUCAUUAAACAACAUUAAAUUUAUUAACUUAUGAAUUAUUACAAUAUGCAUGAUUAUUUUAGUAUUUUUAAAUAAAAUAAUAUUUAAUUUUUAAUAAUAUCAAAUAUAAUAAUCUUUAAUUUUUAUAAAUUAAUGAUUGUUAAUCAAAUAAAAUAAUUUCAAAUCAUGAGUAAUAAAAUCAUUUUGAUAAUAAAAUUACCUUGAUGGCUACAUUAUUAUAGUAAUCUUAAAAAUAAUAUAAAACAUUAUCUAAAAAUUAUAGACCUAUCAUAAAUAUUAAGUCAAACUCAUAUUAUUUUUAAAUAUAUAAUUAACUUUUUUAACUUUCUCAGCAAUAUUUCAAAAUUUGCAACCAAGCAUAAAAUAUAUAUAUAUAUAUUUCAGUUUACUACAUUUAUUUUUUUAUAUUUUGUGAUUAUUUUAAAUUUUUUAUUUGAUAAAAUUUCAAAUAAAUUAUAUUAAUUACUCAAAUUUUAUAUUUUAUAUUUAUAUUUGAUUCAUACAUCAAAAUAUAUUGAAAAGAUCCGCAUAUUCACCUUUCUUCUAGGCUAAGCUUAAAAAAAAAAAAAAAGUAAAAACGUUGAAAAAUUUUGUGAAAAUGAUUUCUGUAUGGCUGAUAAGACCGCGUUCUUCUCAAAUGCACGUUAUGGCUUAUUAAUGGCCAAGAUUUGCGUAUAGUCUUACCUUUAUUAAUUUGGCCACCAAAGAAUGAUUUUUGACUUCUUUCCCGGUCAGCGCCGUUCUUCCUAGGAUAUCCAGCCCCCCACAGCCCCCCACACCGCCCCGGGCCCGCGAAUAUCACUUUUGGAGCCAGCUGUCCAGGGAUGGAUACGGUUAAUUCAAAAGCCAGCUGUUCAAGCACUAUUUAUUUUUUUUUUGAUAAAAUAAUUAGGUUUAUAGUUUAAUUCAUGAUUUAUAUAUAUUAUUAUAAAUGAAUUAAGAUUGAAGAAUUUUAUUUUUUAGUUAUAAAAUUAAUUUAUUUAAUUAAAAGUUCACCAAGAGAUAUGAAAUUCAACUUCAUGAUUAAGCUUCUAAAACGCCCCUGCCACGGCAUAUAUUAAUUCUUUACAAACAUCAAAAAGACAAUUAAAAAACUCAUCAAAGAUGCAAGUACGUUGGAUGUCUGGAAUUAGAAGUAUAUAAUUUAAACUGAUGGGAAUUAGCUUCAAAUAUUUGCAGUAGUGACUGUAUUUAUUGUGUGUGUAAUGUUAAUGCUACAAAUCAGUUGUCUGUAGGGCAGGUGACACUUCUUCAAAACUCUCGCAAAAAUUUUUUUUUUUUUUAAAUUUGAUAACAUUAAAAUUUAAAUUUUAAUCAUUAAAAUUAAAAAUUCAACAUUUUAUUAAUAGUGUCUUUAUUGGCUAAGCUCCAGCAGCUUGUUGACCAGCUUUUACUCAACUGCUCACAAGUGCAUUUGAGCUAUUUGAUCCGUUUUUGUUUUCAACCUGGGAUGAUAUGGGCCAGCUGGGCUUAAACCGGGGAACACAGACUAUAUUCAUGAGCAUGUGUAUCGGUAGGGGUUCCAAAUAAGUGCCACAAAUGAUUAACAAAAGUUUCAAAAUCGACACUUUUAGCCUUCACCGAUUAGAUUCGGCAGAUUUUUUGGGACAUGCGUAUCUUUCUCACUGGUUAGUACGACAAUUAACUAGUACACAUUACAGCAAUAGAAUGAGUUGGUUCACUUGAGGUUCCAGUUGCUGGUUGUAUAGGAUUCAGAUUAUCAACUUCUGAAAAAAUCUGAUAGUGUUUUUGGAUGUCUUUGAUCUAAGAAAAGGGGUAAGGUGAAAGGAGAAGACAACUGUGACCUCAGAAAACAUAAUUAACGGGUUCGGUGUUGUUAAUUCAGUACGUGCUCUGACGUUUAAGUUAAUAUUAUGCUUGAGAUAAGGUUAAGAUAAAAAAGAAGAUCAUGAUGGUAAAGUGUGUGAGACGAGUUUUAAUGAAAAAAAAGUUCAAAAGAUGAGAGAUCUAAUCUUUAUUAUUUUGAGUAUCUAAUUCUUUAUUUAUCUCUUAUUUAAUAUCAAAGGUAAUAGUUUGAUUGAAAUAAUUGACGGUUGACAUUUGAUAAGAUAUCUAUAUAAAAUUCGAUAAGAAUUUACAUAAAUGUAUGAAAAUUACAUUUAUUGAUCUUAAAUAGGCAUGAGCUAUAUUAAUAAUCUUAAAUAUGUUAAGUGCUAAUGGGUCAAUUUUAAUGUAAUUAUCUUGAUAAGUUAUUGAUGUGAUUUUGAUCGAUUCAUCUUUUUAGAGUAGGUAAGUGAUUAUUUACAUGUAUGUUGAUUAAGUUUUGACCAUUAAUUAAUUAAUUUAAGCAUAACAAAUAAUAUUUUAUUUCAAGUUUAAUUUAAAUUAGAUCGAUUUUAGCUAUAAAAAACUAAUUUAAUAUUAAUCAAGCUAAAUUUAAAAUUUAACUUAAUUGAUUUAAAUAAUUAUCAUUAGAAGAUCAUUUUUUUAAAAAAAUAAUAUCUCAUAAAUUUAUGGAAUUAAAAUCUCUAACAUAUGUAAUCUUUUUAUAAAAAAUUAAAAAAAAAAAAAAAGUCAUGCCAUGUUUCAGAAUGUCAUUAUGCAAGUCAGCUUUGCCACCCGCCUUCCAGAAUCUUUCUAACCCGCAAGUGUUAUGGAGUGCAAAGGUAUGAUAAUUUACUUGAAAAUUUGUAUAUUAUACGAAAGUAUCAUAUACCAUAUGUGUCAACUUAUUAAGAAUUGCAUCUUUACUUAAUAUGAAAUUUUUAUUCAUUUAAUUUAAUAAUUAUUUUAUUAUUAUAUUUUUUAAAUAAUUUAUUAGUAUAUUUUAUUACACAUAAUUAUUAAAUAUUCAAGUAAGAUAUAAUAAAUAUAUUUUUAAAGCAAACUAUAAAAGGUUGAUUCUGUUGUUAAUCCUUUUAAAACUAUCAUCUAAAAUCUAUUCAAAUCUAUCACAUAUAAUAAAUUUAUUAUAAUUUUACGUUAUAAAUAUUCAAAUAUAACAUAAACAAAUUAAAUAAUAAUGCAUAUCGCUUACUUCACAUCCUAUGUUCUACCCUUUAUUGACUUCACCACCAAAGGGCGCUUAUCCACUUGUUCAACGUUCAACGUUGAUGGUUACUUCCAGAAUUGAUUUCGCUACCAAAGAGUGUUUUUUUUCCCGGGCCUGGUCCAAUAUCAUCUUUUGAAGGAACAUAUCACUUUAUAAUAAUCGUGAUAAAAUUAAUUAAUUAUGAUUUAAAAUUAUAUUAAAAUCAUCAAAUAUGAAAUUCACAUUUACAAGAAUUCUUAUAUAAUUUUUAUUAUAAUUAGAAUUAUAAUAUUAUAAUAAAAAAUUGUUAUAACAUAAUUUAUUGACAGAGAUAUGUGACACAAAGAUUCUAAUUAUAACCUAUUUUGAUUUUUUUAUUUAAUUUUUUAUACAAUCAACUUCAGAAUAUGAGAUAUAAAGCUUAAUGUGUUAUUGAUAUAAUAAAAAAAUUGUACAUAAAACUCAGGUAAUCGCAAGUUUUUCAGAGUGUAAGGCACGAUAAUAGAUGUUGCUGUUAAGAUUGGAAACGUGUGCAGACUCAUCUCUAUUAUUUGGAACCUCGAAAAUUGUGUAUUCUUGCACAAGUCCUUGACUGAUUUUCUAGUCACUUUCCGAAAAGAAAUGUAAAAAGACUUACUCAAACCUCAAAACUACCAUUAUUACAUUAGCAGGUCAGCUCAUUGCAAAACAGGAGGCAUCCACUGCAACACAAACUCUUAAGAGCUGAAAGAGGUAGCCACUCAGUUUACUAGGGUUGGACAAAUUUGUCUAAUGCAGAAGUGUCCAAAGCUUG
rnacentral:lncRNA from 1 species